UACGUAGGGUGCGAGCGUUGUCCGGAAUUAUUGGGCGUAAAGAGCUCGUAGGCGGUGUGUCACGUCGGCCGUGAAAACCUGCAGCUUAACUGUGGCGUGCGGUCGAUACGGGCAUCACUGGAGUUCGGCAGGGGAGACUGGAAUUCCUGGUGUAGCGGUGAAAUGCGCAGAUAUCAGGAGGAACACCGGUGGCGAAGGCGGGUCUCUGGGCCGAUACUGACGCUGAGGCACGAAAGCGUGGGAGCAAACAGG
rnacentral:rRNA from 1 species